UACGUAGGGGGCAAGCGUUGUCCGGAUUUAUUGGGCGUAAAGAGCGUGUAGGCGGCCAUGUAGGUCCGUUGUGAAAACUCGAGGCUCAACCUCGAGACGCCGAUGGAAACCAUGUGGCUAGAGUCCGGAAGAGGAGAGUGGAAUUCCUGGUGUAGCGGUGAAAUGCGCAGAUAUCAGGAAGAACACCUAUGGCGAAGGCAGCACUCUGGGACGGUACUGACGCUGAGACGCGAAAGCGUGGGGAGCGAACAGG
rnacentral:rRNA from 1 species